rnacentral:lncRNA from 1 species
UUUCUGAGAAUGCUUCUGUCCAGUUUUUACAUGAAGCUGUUUCCUUUACUACCGUAGGCCUCAAAGCGUUCCAAACCUCCACUUGCAGAUACUACGAAAAGAGCGUUUCAACCUGAACUCACAAGGGAAGGUUCAACUCUGUCAGUUGAAUGCCAACAUCACCAAGAAGUUCUGAGAAUGUUCCUCUUCAGUUAUGUGAGGUUUAUCCCGUUUCCCACGAAAUUCUCAGAGAAGUCCCUAAAUCCACUUGCAUAUUCCACAAAAGGUGUGUUUGGAAAAUGCGCCAUCAAAAGAUAUGCUCAGCUCUGUGAGUUAAACUCAAUCAUCGCAAAGAAUUUUCUGAGAAUGCUUCCGUCUUGUUUUUAGAGGAAGUUCUUUCCUUUACUACGACAGGCCUCAAAGAGGUCCAAAUCUCCACUGGCAGAUUCUGCAGAAGGAGUGUUUCAAACCUGAACUGUCAGAGAAAGGUUCAACACUGUGAGUUGAAUGCAAGCAUCACGAAGAAGGUUCUGAGAAUGCUUCUGUUUACGUAGGUGACUUUUCUCCCGUAUCCAGCGAAAUCCUCAGAGCGGUCCAAAUCUCCACUUGCAGAUUCUACACAAAGUGUGUUUGGAAACUGCUCCACCCAAAGGAAUGUUCAGCUCUGUGAGUUGAACUCAAUCGUCACAAAGCGUUUCCUGGGAAUGCUCCUGUCUCGCUUUUAUGUGCAGUUAUAUCCUCUACUGCCAUAGGCCUCAAAGCGGUCGAUAUCUCCCCUUUCAGAUUCUACCAAAAGUGUGUUUCCAAACGGCCCCAUCAAAGGGGAUGUUCAACUCGGUGACUUGAAUGCAAUCAUCACAAAGCAGCUUCUGAGAAUGCUUCCAUGUAGCUUUGAUGAGAAGAUAUUUCCUUUUCCACCCCAGGCCUCGAAGCCCUCCAAAUGUCCCCUUGCAGAUGCUAGAAAGAGGGGGUUUCAAAGCUGCUCUAUCAAAAGGAAAGUACAACUCUGCGAGUUGAAUGCAAACAUCACAAGGAAGUUCCUGAGCAUGCUUCCGUUUAGCUUUUACGGGAAGAUUAUCCCUUUUCCAUCGAAAUGUUCAAAGAGGUCCACAUAUCCGCUUGCAGAUUCCACCGAAAGAGUGUUUCCAAACUGCUGCAUCAAAAGGAAUCCUCAGCUCCGUGAGUUGAAUGCAAUCAUCACCAAGAAGUUUCUGACAAUGCUUCUCACUAGUUUUUAUGUGAAGAUAUUUCCUUUUCCACCGCAGGCCUGAAAGCGCCCCAAAUGUCCACUUGGAGGCUCUACGAAAAGAACGUUUUAAAACUGCUCUAUGAAAAGCAAUGUUAUACUCUGGGAGUUGAACACAAGCCUCACAAAGGAGUUUCUGAGAAUGCUUCUGUUUACUUUUUACGUGAGGAUAUUCCCGUUUCCAAAGAAGUUUUCACAGAGUUCCACCUAUCCAUUUGCAGAUGCCAGCAAAACUAGAGAGUUUCAAAACUGCUCUAUCAAAAGGAAUGUUCAACUCUGUGAGAUGCAUGCAAUCAUCACAGAGAAGUUUCUGAGAAUGCUUCUGUCUACAUUUUAUGUGAAGAUAUAGCCGUUUCGAACGAAGGCCACAAAGUGCUCCAAAUAUCCACUUGCAGGUCCUCCAAAAAGAGUGUUUCAAACGUGAACUACCAAAGGAAGGCUCAACUCGGGACUUUGAAGGCCAACGUCAGAAGGAUGUUUCUGCGGAAGCUUCUGUUUAGUUAGGUGACGUUAUCCCGUUUCCAACGAAAUCCUCAGAGAGGUCCAAAUAUCCACCUGCAGAGUCUACAAAAAGUGUGUUUCAAAACUGCUCCACCCAAAGGAAGGUUCAGCUCUGUGAGUUGAACUCAAUCAUCCCAAAGUAUUUUCUGAGAAGGCUUCUGUCCAGUUUUUACAUGAAGCUGUUUCCUUUACUACCGUAGGCCUCAAAGCGUUCCAAACCUCCACUUGCAGAUACUACGAAAAGAGCGUUUCAACCUGAACUCACAAGGGAAGGUUCAACUCUGUCAGUUGAAUGCCAACAUCACAAAGAAGUUCUGAGAAUGUUCCUCUUCAGUUAUGUGAGGUUUAUCCCGUUUCCAACGAAAUUCUCAGAGAAGUCCCAAAAUCCACUUGCAUAUUCUACAAAAGGUGUGUCUUGAAAAUGCGCCAUCAAAAGAUAUGCUCAGCUCUGUGAGUUAAACUCAAUCAUCGCAAAGAAUUGUCUGAGAAUGCUUCUGUCUUGUUUUCAGAUGAAGUUCUUUCCUUUACUACGAUAGGCCUCAAAGAGGUCCAAAUCUCCACUUGCAGAUUCUGCAGAAGGAGUGUUUCAAACCUGAACUGUCAGAGAAAGGUUCAACACUGUGAAUUGAAUGCAAGCAUCACGAAGAAGGUUCUGAGAAUGCCUCUGUUUACGUACGUGAGUUUUCUCCCGUAUCCAGGGAAAUCCUCAGAGCGGUCCAAAUCUCCACUUGCAGAUUCUACACAAAGUGUGUUUGGAAACUGCUCCAACCAAAGGAAUGUUCAGCUCUGUGAGUUGAACUCAAUCGUCACAAAGUGUUUCCUGGGAAUGCUCCUGUUUCGCUUUUAUGUGCAGUUAUAUCCUCUGCUGCCAUAGGCCUCAAAGCGGUCCAAAUAUCCCCUUUCAGAUUCUACCAGAAGUGUGUUUCCAAACGGCUCCAUCAAAGGGAAUGUUCAACUCGGUGACUUGAAAGCAAUCAUCACAAAGCAGCUUCUGAGAAUGCUUCCAUGUAGCUUUGAUGAGAAGAUAUUUCCUUUUCCACCCCAGGCCUCGAAGCCCUCCAAAUGUCCCCUUGCAGAUGCUAGAAAGAGGGGGUUUCAAAGCUGCUCUAUCAGAAGGAAAGUACAACUCUGUGAGUUGAAUGCAAACAUCACAAGGAAGUUCCUGAGCAUGCUUCCGUUUAGCUUUUAGGGGAAGAUUAUCCCUUUUCCAUCGAAAUGGUCAAAGAGGUCCACAUAUCCGCUUGCAGAUUCCACCGAAAGAGUGUUUCCAAACUGCUGCAUCCAAAGGAAUCCUCAGCUCCGUGAGUUGAAUGCAAUCAUCACCAAGAAGUUUCUGACAAUGCUUCUCUCUAGUUUUUAUGUGAAGAUAUUUCCUUUUCCAACGCAGGCCUGAAAGUGACCCAAAUGUCCACUUGGAGGCUCUACGAAAAGAAUGUUUCAAAACUGCUCUAUGAAAAGCAAUGUUAUACUCUGGGAGUUGAACACAAGCCUCACAAAGGAGUUUCUGAGAAUGCUUCUGUUUACUUUUUACGUGAGGAUAUUCCCGUUUCCAAAGAAGUCUUCACAGAGUUCCACCUAUCCAUUUGCAGAUGCCAGCAAAACUAGAGAGUUUCAAAACUGCUCUAUCAAAAGGAAUGUUCAACUCUGUGAGUUGCAUGCAAUCAUCACAGAGAAGUUUCUGAGAAGGCUUCUGUCUAGAUUUUAUGUGAAGAUAUAGCCGUUUCGAACGAAGGCCACAAAGUGCUCCAAAUAUCCACUUGCAGGUCCUCCAAAAAGAGUGUUUCAAACGUGAACUACCAAAGGAAGGCUCAACUCGGGACUUUGAAGGCCAACGUCAGAAGGAUGUUUAUGCGGAAGCUAUUGUUUAGUUAGGUGACGUUAUCCUGUUUCCAACGAAAUCCUCAGAGAGGUCCAAAUAUCCACCUGCAGAUUCUCCAAAAAGUGUGUUUCCAAACUGCUCCACCCAAAGGAAUGUUCAGCUCUGUGAGUUAAACUCAAUCAACACAAAGUAUUUUCUGAGAAUGCUUCUGUCCAGUUUUUACAUGAAGCUGUUUCCUUUACUACCGUAGGCCUCAAAGCGUUCCAAACCUCCACUUGCAGAUACUACGAAAAGAGCGUUUCAACCUGAACUCACAAGGGAAGGUUCAACUCUGUCAGUUGAAUGCCAACAUCACCAAGAAGUUCUGAGAAUGUUCCUCUUCAGUUAUGUGAGGUUUAUCCCGUUUCCAACGAAAUUCUCAGAGAAGUCCCAAAAUCCACUUGCAUAUUCCACAAAGGUGUGUUUUGAAAAUGCGCCUUCAAAAGAUAUGCUCAGCUCUGUGAGUUAAACUCAAUCGUCGCAAAGAAUUUUCUGAGAAUGCUUCCGUCUUGUUUUUAGAUGAAGUUCUUUCCUUUACUACGAUAGGCCUCAAGGAGGUCCAAAUCUCCACUUGCAGAUUCUGCAGAAGGAGUGUUUCAAACCUGAACUGUCAGAGAAAGUUUCAACACUGUGAGUUGAAUGCAAGCAUCACGAAGAAGGUUCUGAGAAUGCUUCUGUUUACGUAGGUGACUUUUCUCCCGUAUCCAACGAAAUCCUCAGAGCAGUCCAAAUCUCCACUUGCAGAUUCUACACAAAGUGAGUUUGGAAACUGCUCCACCCAAAGGAAUGUUCAGCUCUGUGAGUUGAACUGAAUCGUCACAAAGCGUUUCCUGGGAAUGCUCCUGUCUCGCUUUCAUGUGCAGUUAUAUCAUCUACUGCCAUAGGCCUCAAAGCGGUCCAAAUCUCCCCUUUCAGUUUCUACCAAAAGUGUGUUUCAAAACGGCCCCAUCAAAGGGGAUGUUCAACUCGGUGACUUGAAUGCAAUCAUCACAAAGCAGCUUCUGAGAAUGCUUCCAUGUAGCUUUGAUGAGAAGAUAUUUCCUUUUCCAACCCAGGCCUCGAAGCCCUCCAAAUGUCCCCUUGCAGAUGCUAGAAAGAGGGGGUU